GGCUCAGAAUCAACGCUGGCGGCGUGCCUAACACAUGCAAGUCGAACGAGAAAGUGGAGCAAUCCAUGAGUACAGUGGCGCACGGGUGAGUAACACGUGACUAACCUACCCUUGAGUGGGGGAUAACUGAGGGAAACCUUAGCUAAUACCGCAUAAUACCUACGGGUCAAAGGAGCAAUUCGCUUAAGGAGGGGGUCGCGGCCGAUUAGUUAGUUGGCGGGGUAAUGGCCCACCAAGACGAUGAUCGGUAUCCGGCCUGAGAGGGCGCACGGACACACUGGAACUGAAACACGGUCCAGACUCCUACGGGAGGCAGCAGUGGGGAAUUUUGCGCAAUGGGGGAAACCCUGACGCAGCAACGCCGCGUGGAGGAUGAAGUCCUUCGGGACGUAAACUCCUUUCGAUCGGGACGAUUAUGACGGUACCGGAAGAAGAAGCCCCGGCUAACUUCGUGCCAGCAGCCGCGGUAAUACGAGGGGGGCGAGCGUUGUUCGGAAUUAUUGGGCGUAAAGGGUGCGUAGGCGGUUUGGUAAGUCUUGUGUGAAAUCUCCAGGCUCAACUUGGAGUCUGCACGAGAAACUGCCGGGCUUGAGUGUGGGAGAGGUGAGUGGAAUUCCUGGUGUAGCGGUGAAAUGCGUAGAUAUCAGGAGGAACACCUGUGGCGAAAGCGGCUCACUGGACCACAACUGACGCUGAUGCACGAAAGCUAGGGGAGCAAACAGGAUUAGAUACCCUGGUAGUCCUAGCCCUAAACGAUGACUGCUUGGUGUGACGGGUACCCAAUCCCGCCGUGCCGUAGCUAACGCGUUAAGCAGUCCGCCUGGGGAGUACGGUCGCAAGGCUGAAACUCAAAG
rnacentral:rRNA from 1 species